UGUGCCUCUCGGCGUCGACUAUCGAAGCACUACGACCUUCAUUGCUUUCAGUGGGAAACUUUUGGCGUCAGAAUUCGACACGAGGACAUGAGAUGUUUAUCGCUAUGAAAUCACGUUCAAGAAGUCUCAUUCAGCACACAUCGCGCGAUACUUGCUAUCAUUUCCACAGUUUGGCUGAAAAGACGUAAAGGCAGUCAGCCCAGUGGUGUUUCUGGAGAGGGAUUCCUUCAGAAAUGGAGAAGACAGAAAGCUGCGGAGGCAGAUAUUUGCAGCAUGUUCGAGUGAGCAUGAUGACCACGAGUGUGUGUCGAACUUUUCAUGACCUGAUGACUGUGUUUCCCAAUCCUGAUCCUGGAGAACCCCAGCACUGCACGGUUUUGGUGUCUCUCUUAUCUGCCUUGGAGUCUUCACUGAUGAGCUGAUGAGUUGAAUCAGGUGUGUUUGAUCAGGGAGACAUCUCAAAUGUGCAGUGUUGGGCUUCUCCAGGACCAGGAUUGGGAGCCACUGCCUUAUGGGACACUUAUGUGUUUAAAGAGAUUUUUAAUAUCUAAUUAUCAAUAUUUCACAUACUGUACUAAACACAUCACAGUCUUAAUAAUCCAGUUUAACACUUGUAUGAUAUUGUACAAGCCCCAGGACGGUCUCAUCUGACACUAUCAAAAGAAUUCAUAUGACUAUAGCUUGUUAUUAAUUACUUGCUUUCAAUAAUGGAUUCAUUUAACAUUUAAUUUUACAGCAUCUUUACAGAGGCUGCUUUUAUGGUCUAAACAAAACACAGUGUAAUGUAUAAGUUGAAUGUAAUGUAAUAUUUCUGUUUUACAGGAUUGUUUGAGGAUAACACUGCAGUUCUCCAUCAUGCACAAGGACUUACCUCGUUAACUCUUUAUCCCCCACACACACAGAUAUGGUCCCUGGAUCAGUGAUUAGACUUUGCAGUGGUUUGAUUUUUGCAGAAGAUGUAACUUUGUUUUAUUUAUAAGCUCAUAAUGAAUACAUUACAGAACCAGUGAUGAAAACAAUAGUUAAAAAUAGUAUUUUUCGUAUUGAUAAAGCAUUUUGUUCUCUUUUUCAAGCUUCAUACAGUUAACUUUUUAGACUUUAAUUAAGAGUUUUAGUAAAGGAGAUAUUCAUACACAGUCAUCCCCUAGCUCCAGUCAUGAAGUGAAUUCAUGAUGUUAUGUCAAAGCUAGCAGGUGUUUGUUUUCCUGAACACUUUCUCUGUCUUCCAUUGUUCAGACAAUCAGUGUUUAUUUGAUGCUGUGCUGAUUGAGUUUUAUAGAUGAUAUUGCACACUUGACAUGCAUGUCUUCAUGGUGUUUUUUUGUGAGUUUGAAACAUUUACAUUGUGUUGUAUAACAUUUUGGUCAAUUUAAUUUUUUUAAUAAAAUUGAUCUUUUUCCAUUGUUCUCUGAAAGACAUACUGUAUUUACUGUUUUGUUUUUUAAUAAAAGCAUUUUCAUUUGCAUACUGAAAAUAGUUAAUGUUUACAACAUAACUGCCUUUUUAUUCUUUAUGGUGGCAAAAACGAGCUUGGUGACAGAGGAUGCAGUGUAGUAAUUUGGGCAUGUUGUCUUUAAAUGAGUUUGACAUAUCAAUAAAUAAUGGA